UACAGAGGGGGCAAGCGUUGUUCGGAAUUACUGGGCGUAAAGGGCGCGUAGGCGGCCUUCUAAGUCGAACGUGAAAUCCCUGGGCUCAACCCAGGAACUGCGUCCGAUACUGGAAGGCUUGAAUCCGGGAGAGGGAUGCGGAAUUCCAGGUGUAGCGGUGAAAUGCGUAGAUAUCUGGAGGAACACCGAUGGCGAAGGCAGGUCUCUGGGCCACUACUGACGCUGAGAAGCGAAAGCAUGGGGAGCGAACAGG
rnacentral:rRNA from 1 species